AUUGAACGCUGGCGGAAUGCUUUACACAUGCAAGUCGAACGGCAGCACGGGGGCAGCUCUGGUGGCGAGUGGCGAACGGGUGAGUAAUACAUCGGUACGUGCCCUGCCGUGGGGGAUAACGCAGCGAAAGUUACGCUAAUACCGCAUACGAUCUGAGGAUGAAAGCGGGGGACCUUCGGGCCUUGCGCGAUCGGAGGGGCCGAUGUCAGAUUAGGUAGUUGGUGGGGUAAAGGGCGACCAAGCCGACGAUCUGUAGCUGGUCUGAGAGGCUGACAAGCCACACUGGAACUGAGACACGGCCCAGACUCCUACGGGAGGCAGCAGUGGGGAAUUUUGGACAAUGGGCGCAAGCCUGAUCCAGCCAUUCCGCGUGCAGGACGAAGGCCUUCGGGUUGUAAACUGCUUUUGUACGGAACGAAAAGGCGCUGGCUAAUACCUGGGGGUCAUGACGGUACCGAAAGAAUAAGCACCGGCUAACUACGUG
rnacentral:rRNA from 1 species